rnacentral:rRNA from 1 species
CCCCGUAGAUGAACGCUGGCGGCAUGCCUUACACAUGCAAGUCGAACGGCAGCACGGGGGCAACCCUGGUGGCGAGUGGCGAACGGGUGAGUAAUACAUCGGAACGUGUCCUGUAGUGGGGGAUAGCCCGGCGAAAGCCGGAUUAAUACCGCAUACGCUCUACGGAGGAAAGGGGGGGAUCUUAGGACCUCCCGCUACAGGGGCGGCCGAUGGCAGAUUAGCUAGUUGGUGGGGUAAAGGCCUACCAAGGCGACGAUCUGUAGCUGGUCUGAGAGGACGACCAGCCACACUGGGACUGAGACACGGCCCAGACUCCUACGGGAGGCAGCAGUGGGGAAUUUUGGACAAUGGGGGAAACCCUGAUCCAGCAAUGCCGCGUGUGUGAAGAAGGCCUUCGGGUUGUAAAGCACUUUUGUCCGGAAAGAAAACCUCUGGGUUAAUACCCCGGGGGGAUGACGGUACCGGAAGAAUAAGCACCGGCUAACUACGUGCCAGCAGCCGCGGUAAUACGUAGGGUGCAAGCGUUAAUCGGAAUUACUGGGCGUAAAGCGUGCGCAGGCGGUCCGCUAAGACAGAUGUGAAAUCCCCGGGCUUAACCUGGGAACUGCAUUUGUGACUGGCGGGCUAGAGUAUGGCAGAGGGGGGUAGAAUUCCACGUGUAGCAGUGAAAUGCGUAGAGAUGUGGAGGAAUACCGAUGGCGAAGGCAGCCCCCUGGGCCAAUACUGACGCUCAUGCACGAAAGCGUGGGGAGCAAACAGGAUUAGAUACCCUGGUAGUCCACGCCCUAAACGAUGUCAACUAGUUGUCGGGUCUUCAUUGACUUGGUAACGUAGCUAACGCGUGAAGUGACCGCC